rnacentral:lncRNA from 1 species
GGAGAGGGGAAAAAUCCUGAUAAAUAAUAUUCAGAAACAGUCCUUCUCUCUGGAUUGGCUAUAUCAGGAAAAGAGACAAAGCAUUGGAUAAAGCAAGAAAGCACCAUGAAACAAAACACCUCUUUAAAAUGUUGACUGUAGCGUAGGCUGAUCUCAGGCAAUGUGGGAACUCAGAAUGGCAAAACCUGAACCCACCCCUAGCCCGUAGCUGAAUGUCCUUUGCGGAUGUUUCUGGGAACACGGUGGGGGUAUUUCAUUAACAUAAAAUCUCAGCAAAUGGACAGGCUAUAUUAUUUUGUUGCAGAAGGAAACUGAGUCAACGUGAGACAUCCAAGGAUCAGGACUCGAAAGGAGCAUAUGCCAUUGGGUAUUACUACAGUAGGAUAAAUCAUACGUCCCCUCACUUCAUUUGGAAAUCAGCUUUCACAUUUUUCAAUCAAUGGAAGUCUUGUUGAACACGUCUUGAAUACAUAUUGAGAAGGUACCAAAACAACUAAAAUCAGGUGAGGCAUUUUCAUUUCAAUUUUCAUGGAAUUCUGCUGGUUUCUUUCUUAACUUU